CCUUUAGAGUUUUGGAUCCUGGCUCAGAUUGAACGCUGGCGGCAGGCCUAACACAUGCAAGUCGAGCGGAAACGAGUUAUCUGAACCUUCGGGGAACGAUAACGGCGUCGAGCGGCGGACGGGUGAGUAAUGCCUAGGAAAUUGCCUUGAUGUGGGGGAUAACCAUUGGAAACGAUGGCUAAUACCGCAUAAUGCCUACGGGCCAAAGAGGGGGACCUUCGGGCCUCUCGCGUCAAGAUAUGCCUAGGUGGGAUUAGCUAGUUGGUGAGGUAAUGGCUCACCAAGGCGACGAUCCCUAGCUGGUCUGAGAGGAUGAUCAGCCACACUGGAACUGAGACACGGUCCAGACUCCUACGGGAGGCAGCAGUGGGGAAUAUUGCACAAUGGGCGCAAGCCUGAUGCAGCCAUGCCGCGUGUAUGAAGAAGGCCUUCGGGUUGUAAAGUACUUUCAGCAGUGAGGAAGGGGGUGUCGUUAAUAGCGGCAUCUCUGACUA
rnacentral:rRNA from 1 species